AGCCGAAACAGCCCUGUGGGGCUGUCAUGCGGGGGCUGACCUCCCCGCAUCUGACGAUGGCAGGUCAAG
rnacentral:hammerhead_ribozyme from 1 species